AAAGCAGGGGAUCGUAAGACCUUGCGCUUUUGGAGUGGCCGAUGCCUGAUUAGCUAGUUGGUGGGGUAAGGGCCUACCAAGGCAACGAUCAGUAGUUGGUCUGAGAGGACGACCAGCCACACUGGGACUGAGACACGGCCCAGACUCCUACGGGAGGCAGCAGUGGGGAAUUUUGGACAAUGGGCGAAAGCCUGAUCCAGCAAUGCCGCGUGAGUGAAGAAGGCCUUCGGGUUGUAAAGCUCUUUCAGUCGAGAAGAAAAGGUUGUGACUAAUAAUCACAACUUAUGACGGUACCGACAGAAGAAGCACCGGCUAACUACGUGCCAGCAGCCGCGGUAAUACGUAGGGUGCGAGCGUUAAUCGGAAUUACUGGGCGUAAAGGGUGCGCAGGCGGCUUUGUAAGUCAGAUGUGAAAUCCCCGGGCUUAACCUGGGAAUUGCGUUUGAAACUACAAGGCUAGA
rnacentral:rRNA from 1 species